GAGGAGAUGAUAGUACAUCAGUAGACAGUUACUGUACGCUAAAGAUUUGUAUAGUAUAAAGUGUUAAACAGUUUUACUGAUGAUAUGGUAAUAGAUUUUUACACAUUUAGUAGAUUUAUUCGGGAUAUAAACCUAAAAUUUCAAACUUGUGAAAUUCGUGGGGAACACUACUUGGAUAUAUAGGUAACCACUGAAAUCUCGUUUGAAAGGUUUCUUAUUCUGAUAUACUAGGUUUUUCUACUAUUUGAUGUCUGGGGUAUUAUUCCGGGACUUCUGCUGAACGGAAGUUCUGACCUAGUCCUUGGAUAAUGCUUUGUCUGAAAUGCUUGAAACAUAGCAUUAUAGCCCUCAGAUUGAUUAGACAAUAAAAUUGAUAAUCAUCUGUUGUAGCAAAAAGAUCCUCUAAAGGGGACAUACCAAAGUCGAAACUGAUAUCUCUCUGCGCAUACGGAAGUAUCGACCUGAGAUCCCUCAGUUUUCGCAUGUCCUAAAUUAUGUACAGACAUCAUUUUAGUACAAUUACCUGUGUAUUUUAAUAUUGAAAUUCUGGAUACGGGAGUAUAUUCAAGAGGUGGAACACAUGAAUGAGCUAAGUUCAUAAGACAUCUAAAUAAUAUCCUGAGUAAAUUGAAAAUUGUGUGAGAAUUUAGAAACAGUCUAUGUGAAUUGUUUAAUACUGAGUAUGAUUUAAAGCUUAAUGGUACUAGUAAUUUGUCAAAAACCGAUAUGAUCCUCUGUCGCAUACUCAAAACAGAAAUAUGUUUUUAAAACACAAAAAGAUUUUGAUUUCUGUUUUAUUUUCGACAACCGAUGUCUGAGUUGCUGAGUUUCAAAAUCUAAGUAAGCUAAUUGUGUUUCUGGAAAUAAAUCAAGUUCAUUAAUUUGAAACUUGAAGUUUUAAAAUUUAAAUCAAAAUUCAAAAACAGUUUGUGAUAUCUCCAAGGUCAUUAAUUUGGACUUGGAUGAUCAACCGUGAAAGAUUUGGAUGCUCAUAUUGUUAAAAUUUUAAAAGAGUCAAUUUUUCGAUUUUGGAAGCUUUAAUUCUACCAAAUCUUUGAAGUAUUUUGAUAGGGGGAGAGAGUCAAGAUAAUCCUGGAUAUAUUCAUAUUAUUAUAUCUUUAAAGCCAGGAUCUUGAUUUAGAAAGUUUAAAAAGAACCAGAUUACGAUUUCUAGACAAUCUCAAAACACUGUCACUUAUAAACGUAUGAGUGUUGCAGAUGUUAUUCCAGACUACGAUCCCGACAGCCAAGUCUGAGAGGGAGUCUGAAGACGAGCUCAAUGCUAACGGAAGUGUGUAAGGAACCAGGUAUCGAUUCUAGAAGAGCUUGUAACUGGAAAGCCAGGUGUCGAUCCCAAAGCACGGAAGCUUGACGAUAGGGGGAGCCUGAAGAGUUUACCGAAAGGGGGAGCUGAAGUUGAAAACAGAUCCACUGGGAUUCUGUUCGAGCAAGAGAGAGUCUGUAUUUGCUGAAAUCAUAUUAAAUCUUCAAGAAGACUCAGAAAGAGAGAAAGAAAAGUCGCUACGAGUUUUUACGGGUUGACUGCGGCAAUAUCCAAGGGGGAGUCUGUUAGUACAUUAAUGUCUAUCGCCUUCGUCACUUCCGUCCGUAGCUGAAUCUGUCUAAUUCUAAGAUUUACAUUGUGUUUAGUAGAGAAAAAGGCAAGGUGGCAUGAUUGUAAAUAAGGAGAACUCUCCUUAUACCUUGGCCUAUAAAUAGAAGCCUUAGGCUUUUAGUUAGAGACUUUUUUGCCAUUUUGUAACUUGGAGAGCUAGAGUUCUAGAGAGAGAAAGUAGAGAGAGAAAGCUUGUCCAAGGUGAUUCACGGUUCUUGUAUCAUUUUCAGAUCUAUCAAAGAAUCACGUUUAUU
rnacentral:lncRNA from 1 species